CCUGGGAAGUGUCCUCAGAUGCCACAGACACAAGACACACACUCCUCCCUCGCUGUUCCCUUGACAAUGAGAGAACCAUUGCACGUGACCAGUCCCUUCCCAUUAAGCCAUGCAGGCUACCUGUUUAGCUGUGGAAUCCAGGCCAGCUUUGCGGCCUGCACUGGCAACAAACCACCAGGGAAAGAGCGAUAUACCCAGGCUGCAGUUACACCUCUCCUGCUUCUGUUCUCUCUCUCUCUGGGAAUCUUGCCACCAUCACAAAUACAAGCCCAGGCCGGUCUUCCGGAGGAGAGACUGAGUACAGGUCCUACAUGCUUCAACACUCCAGGCCACGUUCUCUGUUCUCAGGACUCUUCCCAGAUGGCAGUGACAAUUUUCCUACCCACUAAAUCCCCUGUUCCCUGAAGUUGUUCGUUCCUAUUGAUGUGUUCAAAACUAGUUCUGGUGUUGGCCAUCCAGAACCAGCUAUAUCUCAAGUCUGAUCCCUCUUUUGCCUCAAUUUUCUCGCUUGUCUAAUGGGAAUAGAUAAUAGUUCUACAUUUCAGGGUUGUUAUAAGGAUUAAGAGAAAUAUUUAUAGAGCACUUGGGGUAACAUUGACACAUGCCGAGGCAUUAUUUGUUACCUGCUGUCAUCAUCAGCAUUGUCAUCUUCAUCAAGACAUCACCACUAUCCUUGGUAUGGACACCGCAUGAAACCACUGAAAAAACACUGAGGUUUCAGGAUUUAUUCAUAAGACCUCAGUGCAGUUCAGUCGCUCAGUCCCAUCUGACUCUUUGCGAUCCCAUGGACUACUGUACGCGAGGCUUCCCUGUCCAGCACCAACUCCCGGAGCUUACGCAAACUCAUGUGUUCACGAGUCGGUGAUGCCCUCUAACCAUCUCCUAGCAUGCACUAAUUAAUCUGUUUCUAAAGCUGAAAUUUGACCUUCUUAAAACCCUCCGAUUUCUGCCCCUCAUCUUUGGGAUGUGGUCCAGGGUUCUCUGGUUCUGGACCUGUUUAGCAUUCUAACCUCAUCUUCCACCACUAAAGUCACACACUUCAUUUUCCAGUAACAUCCAAG
ensembl:lncRNA